UACGUAGGGGGCAAGCGUUGUCCGGAUUAUUGGGCGUAAAGAGCGUGUAGGCGGCCAGACAGGUCAGCUGUGAAAACUCGAGGCUCAACCUCGAGACGUCGGUUGAAACCGUCUGGCUAGAGUCCGGAAGAGGAGAGUGGAAUUCCCGGUGUGAGCGGUGAAAUGCGCAGAUAUCGGGAAGAACACCCGUGGCGAAGGCGGCUCUCUGGGACGGUACUGACGCUGAGACGCGAAAGCGUGGGGAGCAAACAGGG
rnacentral:rRNA from 1 species